GACGAACGCUGGCGGCGUGCUUAACACAUGCAAGUCGAACGAAGUGGCGAACGGGUGAGUAACGCGUAAUCAACCUGCCCUUCAGAGGGGGACAACAGUUGGAAACGACUGCUAAUACCGCAUACUGAAGGAGGGGAUUGCGUCUGAUUAGCUAGUUGGAUGGGUAACGGCCCACCAAGGCGAUGAUCAGUAGCCGGUGCGGAGGGAUGGACGUCCACAUUGGGACUGAGAAACGGCCCAGAAUCCUACGGGAGGCAGCAGUGGGGAAACUUCCGCAAUGGAGGAAAGUCUGACGGAGCAACGCCGCGUGAGAGGUGACGGCCUUCGGGUUGUAAAGCUCUGUUAAUCGGGACGCGGUACCGGAAUAGAAAGCCACGGCUAACUACGUGCCAGCAGCCGCGGUAAUAC
rnacentral:rRNA from 1 species